rnacentral:rRNA from 1 species
GACGAACGCUGGCGGCGUGCUUAACACAUGCAAGUCGAGCGGUAAGGCCCUUUCGGGGGUACGACGAGCGGCGAACGGGUGAGUAACACGUGGGUGACCUGCCCUCAGCUCUGGGAUAAGCCUGGGAAACCGGGUCUAAUACUGGAUAUGACUCCAUGACGCAUGUUGUGGGGUGGAAAGCCUUGUGCGGCUGGGGAGUGGGCCCGCGGCCUAUCAGCUUGUUGGUGGGGUGAUGGCCUACCAAGGCGACGACGGGUAGCCGGCCUGAGAGGGCGACCGGCCACACUGGGACUGAGACACGGCCCAGACUCCUACGGGAGGCAGCAGUGGGGAAUCUUGCGCAAUGGGCGAAAGCCUGACGCAGCGACGCCGCGUGAGGGAUGACGGCCU